UACAGAGGUCUCAAGCGUUGUUCGGAUUCAUUGGGCGUAAAGGGUGCGUAGGUGGCGCGGUAAGUCGGGUGUGAAAUUUCGGAGCUUAACUCCGAAACUGCAUUCGAUACUGCCGUGCUUGAGGACUGGAGAGGAGACUGGAAUUUACGGUGUAGCGGUGAAAUGCGUAGAGAUCGUAAGGAAGACCAGUGGCGAAGGCGGGUCUCUGGACAGUUCCUGA
rnacentral:rRNA from 1 species